GACGAACGCUGGCGGCGUGCUUAACACAUGCAAGUCGAACGGUAAGGCCCUUCGGGGUACACGAGUGGCGAACGGGUGAGUAACACGUGGGUGAUCUGCCCUGCACUUCGGGAUAAGCCUGGGAAACUGGGUCUAAUACCGGAUAGGACCAUUGCCUGCAUGGGUGGUGGUGGAAAGCUUUUGCGGUGUGGGAUGGGCCCGCGGCCUAUCAGCUUGUUGGUGGGGUGAUGGCCUACCAAGGCGACGACGGGUAGCCGGCCUGAGAGGGUGACCGGUCACACUGGGACUGAGAUACGGCCCAGACUCCUACGGGAGGCAGCAGUGGGGAAUAUUGCACAAUGGGCGCAAGCCUGAUGCAGCGACGCCGCGUGAGGGACGACGGCCUUCGGGUUGUAAACUUCUUUCAGCUAUGACGAAGCGCAAGUGACGGUAGUAGCAGAAGAAGGACCGGCCAACUACGUGCCAGCAGCCGCAGUAA
rnacentral:rRNA from 1 species